AAAAAUGAAGAAGAAGAUGAAUAAGAAUGUACAUUAAUGGAAUUCAAAAAAAAAGAAGCAAAGUGCAUUGACCAAAGAUAGAUGGAAUCAAAGUCAAACAAUAGUAAACAAAAGCAAAAUGAAACUUAGAAGUCAAGAAACAAAUAAAAUAUUUUUGGUAUUUUUCAAAAUUAAAAUAAUACUUGAAUUAAAAUAAACAAUUAAAGGUCAAACUUCAAAUCCAUUUCAAAUCAAC
rnacentral:lncRNA from 1 species